rnacentral:rRNA from 1 species
AGAGUGGCGGACGGGUGAGUAACACGUCGGUGACCUGCCCCAAAGCGGGGAAUAACCAUUGGAAACGGUGGCUAAUACCCCAUGUGCUCGACGGUUCAAUCUGUCGAGUAAAGCUCCGGCGCUUUGGGAGGGGCCUGCGGCCCAUCAGGUAGUUGGUAGGGUAAUGGCCUACCAAGCCAAUGACGGGUAGGGGGCGUGAGAGCGUGAUCCCCCACACUGGCACUGAGAUACGGGCCAG